UGCAUUGUGAGUGUUUUCAGAAGUGUUUUGAGAAGCUGUGGUGAUUUAGCAUAAAGCAUUGUGAUAUUUCUGCAUUGUGAGUGAUUUUAGAAGGUAUUUU